GAUAAGGUGGCUGAAUAAUAGGCAGUAAAUUGUAAAUUUACUUAUGAUUAAUAUAAUCUCUUAUCA
rnacentral:tRNA from 1 species